GGACAGAUGCUCUCAUUUAGAGUAACGGACACGGAUGGACAAACUAUUGAAUUCACAAACGUUGUGCCACAAGGAUGGAAGUUUGGCCAAACAUUUGCAUCCAAGUUACAGUUCAAGUGAGCUCCGUACGUACAGGAUUUCCAAUGACCUAAAUAGUUGCGCACUUGUGGGAGUAUAUAUGAUUCAAAGACGCUCAAAAUGUAUGCAUGCAUGUAUGGAUCGGAGUUGCUGGAGUCGUACACUAUAUAUAUAUAUAUAUAUAUAUAUAUAUAUAUAUAUAUAUAUAUAUAUAUAUAUAUAUAUAGACAUGCAUUACUUGUAUAUAUAAAUACGGAUUCUUAGCAUCUAUUUCUAAUUGUGUAUAUUCAUGUUUAAAUUAAAUUUAUGUUGUGUGUAUAUAAAGAUACGAGAGCGUGCAUAUCCUCUCAAGCCACAUUUAUUCUGCUGCACUAAUGUAAACGAACCAUGCUUCCGUGAGUUAGUGCAAAUACUUUCAUGUUUGAUAUUCCAACAUGAAAGAAUUAACUGGCGAAUCGACCUUGUCUAUUUGUGGUUCAGACGUAUUUGUUCUAAAAAUGUAAAUGCAAAGAUAAAUGUAAGUUCUCAUAUUUUUAGUGGGCAUAGUCAUAAACGGUAUUAAUUAAUUGAAAUAUGAUACAGGAAUAUUAUUUUGUUCAAGUACUGUUAUGGGUUCAUAAGCAGAAACCACCUUCAUCUGAUCUCGUGCGCAGUCCUAGUCCCUUCUCCUGUUGUCCAGUCGCCCGUUCCUGCGCGAGCCCAGCGAGGGUGGCCAUCUGCCUGUGCCGUUCGAGAGCGACGGUGCCGCAGUCACGCUGUCGUCCAGUGCCAUCCCCCGCGGAUCUUUGACACCCCGGGCAAGCUCUGCCUCAUUGGGUUCGGCACCACCAUGGCUGGGUUGGCUUGCAGCUCAGCCAUGGGCUGCUCAGCCGCCGCGGACUGAGGCAUCACAUCGUCUUCCUAAGGUUCUCCUCCAAGCAAGGACUGGACCAGCCCGUGCUCGGCAACAUCAAUUCCCUCCCUAACUUUGCUUCUGCAUACGCGCUUUGGUUCUCUCCCCGAUCAGCGUGUGCUCUCGACGACAGAGGCCCGUGCAGGAGUACGACAUGCGGCCGGUUGUCCUCACCGUGCUCAGACUCCCCCCACCUCCGUCUCCCUCCCACAUUGCCUUUUCCAGCUCUAUCAUAAAAGCUAAAAUCCAUCCAUAGUGAAUCGAUUAAAGAAGAUCAGUGCUUCUCGAAAAUGACGUUGGUCAACUGCUGGUGAGAUGUAGGUUAGAUCACAUGGUAACUAUGCCACAACGGAUCUGCUUAGUUUGUGCUGUAUAAUGAAUAUUUUUCUCCGUAGAAACUACUACUAAAAUUAUGCAUUGGAGAGAAUAGUUUCUAGUUGUAAGGUAUUCGAGCCAUAGGAACCGUACAUAGUUUUUAAAUUGGAAGUGCCUUAAUAAAUCAAGGGUGGUGAUUACAAUGCGAGAGAUUUUGGUGCACUACCGGAAUCCCUAGCUAUGCCGUGAGCUGGGGACUUUGUCGUGUGCUUCCCAUCAGGCACACGACAAAGAUCUACUUUGCCGAGUGCCGCAAGCCCGGCACACGGCAUAUCAAAAACUUUCGGCAUAACGGCUCUUCAUCGUGGGCUAAAUCUUUAGCGCACGGCAAAGAGGACGAAUUUGCCGUGAGCCGAACUAAAGCCCUCGGCAAAAAAAACACGACAUCAGCUUGCCGUCACUUUGCCCUCGGUCGUUAGAUUGUUUUUAUGUGCCGAGUGCCACAAAGACACACGGCGUAAGAUUUUGCUGUGUGCCCAACGGAUGGUGCACGACAAAGAGGGUCUUCACCGUCAGCUACUGUGCCGUGCGGUCUUUGUCGUGCCCUCUGCAUGACAAAGUGUUUGCUGUGUGCUUUAGGCACUUUGCCGUGUGCCGACAAAACUCUCGAAUCCGGUAGUGGUGGUUAACACUUAGACACAAGAAGAUUUAUCAUGGUUUAGGUUUCAAACCUCCAGAGAGAGUUCUUUGUGUUAGAAUACUCAAGUGAGUUUUUUGCAAAUUACAAUUGAGAGAGAGAGAAAGAAAGAGAGUAGGAGAGCGUUUGGCUAGUUCUCAUGUCACUACAGGAGACAGACGCUUUGUCUAGUGUCUCUGGCACUCGGCAAAGGCCUAAAUACACUCGGCAAAGCCUUUGCCAAGUGUCACACUUUGCCGAGUGCGGCAAAAAUCUGGCCGACAAAGGGGUCUUUGCCGAGUGUUUUUUAUCGGACACUCGGCAAAGGCUUUGCCGAGUGUUGACACUCGGCAAAGAUAAAAAUAAAAAAAAAUCCAAAAAAAUAAGAAUUUUUUUUAGGGAGAGGGCAGCCAUUAUAGCCAGCAUCCACCACUACACCCUCCACCUUUUUUCUAGCAUUUUUCCACAAAAUCCGCAUAUGUGCCGGCAGCAGAGCUUAAGCCCCUCACUUCUUUACCACUAUACUAAACCAUCACUUGUGAUUAUAUUCUGUUUCGAUUCUUAAUAUAUCAUACUAAAUCACAAGUAAAAUGAUUAUUUGAGCCUCUAAACGAUUUCAAAUUAAAAAGUUGUCAACUACAAAGUUUUAUAACUUUUUGAGAUCUAUAAUUUUCAUUUAAGGAGUUUCUCCAUCCGAGGCCGUUUAUAAAAUUUAAAUUUCAAAUUUAAGAAAUUUAAACGUAGUUUUUCCAUGACAACAAGGUUUCAAAUCAAAAAGUUAUCAACUACAAAGUUUCAUAACUUUUCAAGACCUACAAAGUUUAUUCAGUCAAUUUUUUCAUCCGAGGUAAUUUUAAAAAAUCUAAUUUAAAAAUUUUCAAAUAAAGACGCAGUUUUGAAUGACAAGAUAACUCAAAUGAAAAAAUUGUCAACCAUAAAAUUUUAUAACUUGUCAAAAUCUAUAAAAAUUAUUUUGGUUGUUUGAUCAUUUGCUCAUCUGACACGGUAAUUCUAAUAUUUUUCACAAAUCUUAUAUAUCUCUCUUGUAGUUCUAGGAUCUAUAAGAGAGAUGUAAAGUUUGUGAACAAAUUUAUUUUUACUUCGCCAAAUGAAGAAAUGGCCAAAAUAAAGAUUGUAGAUCUUGAGAAGUUAUACAACUUUGUAGUUCAAAACUUUUUGAUUUGAAUUUGUUUAGGGCUUCAAAUUUUGAUUUAAAUUUUUCUUUGCCGAGUGUUUUUUUGACACGCGGUAAAGAACCCUCUUUACCGAGUGUUUUUAUUUGCGGAGUGUUUUAUUUUUAGCACUCGGCAAAUAAGCUCUUUGCCGAGUGCUCGAAAAAAACACUCGGCAAACCACUUGACACUCGGCAAAGAAGCGGAUUCCGGUAGUGUGUAGGGUUUCAAAGUGAGUUCGAUCCCCCCUUUAUAGGUUUCUUUGUCCAUCCUUAUAUCUCUAGAGGGAAAGAGGUGUUGUGCAAGAUUGUUUGAGUUUUCUCUAGCUUCCUUGAUUGACAAAGAUUUCUCAGGCUUAGUCAUCUUCAUCUUUGAGGUAGCUGUUGAAGGCAUCACUGCUCCAUAUGGUCGUGGCCAACAACAUAUAGAAACAGCCCAUGGCAGCUUUUACAAAUGGAAGUAGUAGCUCCAUGCUGAUCGGGAGCUAGGUUCUGCCUCACUUGCCCCCUCUAGCAUUUCUUUCACGCCAAGGGAGACAAAGCCAUGGGGGUUGACGGCUUGACGCUAGGGUCCAGUUCCUUCCGUGUGUCCUUUCUAAUCCUAAUUGCGAUGGCUAGCCAAUAUAAAUGAAAAAUUAAACUAAUUAGCCUAACCAAGAUUACAUCCCUCUAUCUAUGUCACAAGCAUCAUAUAAAAAAUAUCCUAAAACAAGUUGUGUCUAGCCAUGGCAUAUUUCAGUGGCUAAUUUCUUGUGUAGGGACCAUGAUGUCUAAGAUGGGGGCUGAAAAGUCACUUUGACCGGACCCUUGGUAGUCUUAGAUACAAAAGUCAUGAAUACAAAGUUUGUCCAACUCAUCAAGAUACACAUUGUGUGUAAUGGUCAACUUUUCAUCUCAGAGAGUUUGGACUAGUCAAAAUUUGAAAUUUUAGAUUUCCACAGCUACACACAUAUUUUCGAAACCCGAGACGUCCCCAACUCAAAAAGUCAUGAAUACAAAGUUUGUUCCACUCAUCAAGAUAUACAUUUCAUACAUAGGACAUUUUUUCAUUUGACAAAUCAUUACAAAAGUGUAGUUCUAAAUCCACAAGCCUCACAUAUAGUUUCAUAAAGUUUGUAUGAGAUUCAAGACUUUGUGACUAGAAUUUACCAAUCCUUUCCCAAAUGCCAAAAUAGCCUAUGUAUGGAAUGUGUAUCUUGAGGAGCUCUAACACCCAUGUAUUCAAAAGUUUGUCAUUUGAGGUCAUUUAGUGCCUAGUUUGACCUAGUUUGACCAAGUCAAAUCUUGGAUUUUUCUGAAAAGUCACUUUAACUGGACCCUUGGUAGUCUCAGAUACAAAAGUCAUGAAUACAAAGUUUGUCCAGCUCAUCAAGAUACACAUUGUGUGUAAUGGUCAACUUUUCAUCUGAGAGAGUUUGGACCACUUAAAUUUCGAAAUUUCAAAUUUCCACAGCUACACACACGUUCUAAAUCCACAGAUCUCACAUAUAGUUUCAUAAAGUUUGUGUGAGAUUCACAUACAUUUCAUACAUAGGACAUUUGACCAGAGUUUACAUGAUGAAUCACAGAUACAAUCUAGGCCGCUACUAUUCUUCCUUGUCCAUCAGGGCGCACCCAUGGCAAAGAACUCUGUGGGAUGCUUCGCUCAAUAUUUUUUAUCUUCACAGGAUGAUCCACAAAGAGGGACAUAUCACUGAACUGGUUAAAAUCCUCCAGAUCCGAUACACCAUCAACUCCAACUGCUUGUUGCUUUCCUAGAAAAACUACAUGCUUCGGUUUGUCGGUACUUUUCUUCUCAUUCUUAGAAAGGAUCUGUUCAGCAUAGAAAACCUGUGCAGCACGAUUAGCAAGGAUCCACGGGUCAUCUUUAUAUCCCACCUUACUUAGAUCAAGAACUCUGACCCCAUAAUUAUCCACUAUGAUAUGCUUAUCUUCAACCCAUUGACAUCGAAACACAGGGAUCUAAAAUGUACCAUAAUCUAGUUCCCAUAUGUCCUUGAUGAAGCCAAAGUAUGUAAUAAUAUCACUAGUUUUGUCGUCUAUGGCCUCGCAUCGAACACCACUAUUUUGUGUCAUGCUCUUUUGGUCCUUGGACUUGAUAUGAAAUGUGAAUCCACUUAUGUCAUAGGUUUGCCAUGUUAUGACUUGGCGUGAUGGUCCAGAUGCCAAAGCCUUGAUGGUUUGUUUCUCAAUUGUUUCCCCAUAUGGAAUGUCCUACUCCCUUAGCCAUGUGUACAACUAUUUCUUGUGUUCCUUCAUUACCCAAUCCCCUGUUUGCCUAGGAUUAUGUUCUCGAAGCUCAUUCAUGUGUUGUUCAAUCAAAUGCUCCAUUAUCGAGAGCUGAUGUAAGAUGCUAUGAUGUGCCUCAAGUACUGUAUUGUAAUCUGGUGGGAUAAAUGAUUUCCGUCCAAUCCUCCCACAUCCAUGUAGCCUACCCUCAUGUCUUGACGGAGGCAAACCUAUUGCAACCUGGUCUUUUAGGACAUUAUUGCAGAAUGGUCCUCCGGACUCAAUCGUCUCUUCGGUACAAUACCCCUCUAUCAUGGACGCCUCGGGACGAGCACGAGUUGAUACAUAGCCAUUUAGUAUUGACAUAAAAUGCUCGUACGUCCACAUUUUAUGCAGGUACAUGGGACCUAGUGCCUGUAUUUGUGGAACCAAGUGCACCACAAGGUGCACCAUGAUAUCAAAGAAUGAUGGGGGGAAACACAUCUCAAACUGUGACACUGUUUCCACUACCCAUUUCCAUCUCCAGAACCAUCCAAAAAUAUUCUACUCCUAAUCCGGGAGAGAAUAGCCAAAAACAUUCUCCUAUUUUUGUUUUUCCCUGUGAAAUAAAUGCUCAAGAUAUUUCGGUUACUACCACUUGCUACAUUAUUUAAAGAGGUGAGUACUCUAAAAAAAGAGAAGAUACGAGGAAAUAAAAAGGGGCAAGUGCCCGGAACGUCGAAAGAAAAGAAAAAGUGAGACGAGAGGUAAAAAUGGACAAGUGUCCGACAGUAGAAUUAGGGGUACAAGAUACCCACCUGAGAGGAAAGAAAAAGAAAAUAUAGAGCGUCUCAUUCUCCUCAAAAGUUUCAAAGAGCAAGAAAAGUAUAUAUCCCCUCAAAAGAGCACAAGUAGAAUUAGACUUUCACCAUUGUUAUCACCAUCAUCACCAUACACCAUUCAUUCGCCACACAUGCACAUCUUGAUUUGACUUAUUGACUUGUUUCUCUGGAUCCAUGGUUUGACUAUGCAAUAAAUGUCUUGUAAGUAUGUAUUAGCUGUCUCCCACCUAUGAGCUCCAGAUAUCAAAACCUUAUUCGAGUAGGGUGAGAGAAGGCAAUGCCACUAUGCCUCAUACCAAAAAUACCACAUACUUUGAGAGAAGGCAUACACUAUUACUGCCUUGGUAAGGAUCUAGAAAUACCACAAAAGAGAGACUAGAGAGAGUCAUACAAGGAAUCUCUGAGUUUUCUUUGAAAAUCUGCAAAAACUCCAGAGCUAUAGUUAAUCAAAGAACAAGAGACAUGGCGCUUGACUAGACCGUUCUAUCUUUUAACUGCUCAAGACACAAGUGACGGUUGCAAGCCCCACGGUGGAAGGUAAAAUGAGUAAGUUUAAAUCUUAAAAGUUUACCCUAAUCUAGAGAUGAGAUCUUGUUUGAACGCAUGUGUACCUUUAAGGCAUGAAACCACUGCAGAAACUCUUGAGUUCAUCUUUGCUCAGGGAUGAGCAAAGGUUAAGCUUGGGGGAGUUUGUUGACGGUCCUUAAUGCUCACAUUUAAUCAUCAUCUAAUCAUGGAAAAGGAUCCAAAUGCAACCAACACCCAGACUUGGGGUUUUAUCUGACAGAAUUCCAUGAGUUUUGGUGUUUGUCUAUUUCUGCAGGGGGUUAUCAGGAAAUACGGAGGAAAGGCCCACACGUCGGGUUUACAUAGAGAUAUUAACGUGCUGCGCAAUUUUCUAUCAUCUAGAAGACUCUAGAAGCCACGGGAACGAAGCAGAGGCCGAACGGAGCCUGGCCCAGGGCGCCCGCCCUGAGGACUAGGACGCCCGCCCACCUACAGAGUCCAAACAGGACCCAUUUCGCGGAUCACGCUCCACCGACCUAAAGGAUCAAGGAUAACCGUUCAAUCAAUGUCGGUUUGAUCCGACGACCUAGAUUCAUCUGAAAAGACUAUAUAAGCAAGGCCCCCUGGCCCUUGGAGAUCAUACCUCUUCUACAAAAUCAAAGCUAGGGUUUCAAUUCUUCAUCCAAGUAGAGAGGAUCCCUCUAGUUCAUCUAGUUCUAGUUCUAGUUAGUUCUAGUUGUAAUCUAGAAAAUAGGGAGAGAGAAGAGGAGAGCGGAGGAGGAGCCGGAUCUGUCGGAUCUUCCUCAACAUUAUUCUUUUGCAGCAACUGGUUCGUUCUUCAUCAUUCUCCAAGUUCUUCAAUUCAUAAUUCUGUGUACUUUAAUUACUUUUAUUUACAUUCAAGUUAUUUAUUGGAUUCCCGCUUGCAUCAAGUGCUUUAGUCUUUAUAACGCUAGAGUAGUAAUUAAUAGAUUAGACGUGGUGUUUAGUCUUGCAAUUACCUGGAAUUGUACCCAAUCCUGUGGAUUGUUGUGGUAGCCCUAGGGUAGUGACAGCCCUAACGGUCGACGUAUUCCACCUCGUUCGGAUCGGUGUUUUUAGGACCGUAGUCAGAGCUUCCUAGCCCCCUUCUCAUCUCUUUCUGUGGUUAGUGUCCCGAAAUAAAUAAUCUUUGAAGUAAUUCUUGAUUCUUAGAUCAACUAGAGAACUCUCAGGAAACUUCCUCUCUUCCCACCAAAAAUAAUUAUAUAGUUAUCCUUGGGCGACUUUGAAUCUUAAUUAGUACACUCACGUUUCCUAUGGAAAAUCGAUACUCUGGAAUACUCUCGGGUGAAAGCUACAUCGGUAUCCGUGCGCUUGCGGAUUUUUCUGUUUGCGUUUAAAAUACCCAACAGAGGUGGGACCACAAAGGUGGAAGGACUAAACAUGUUGAAUCGAUUGGGUUGGUUAUUCUAGAGUUGUAAAUCAUACAUGUUUGUCUAUUUUAUUCAUGUGAACGCCAGAACCAAGGAGAAGCUUAUAAAAGUGAUAGUCAAGUACCUUAAGAUGUUACCUUACUUGAAGAGUGAUGGUACAGUAUCACCUUGUGGAAGCUUUCCUUUCUUAGCGGUUGUGCAUCGUGUUUGUGGCACCCUCCAUGGAUCGUCUCUUAUGAGCUAUGUCUUCCUUGUGUAAAUUGUUAAACUUCAUGUGUCUCUCUCUUUGUCUCCAAUUUGAGUUUAUCUCAUGACUUCCCAGGUCGAUAUUGAAAGUUUUCCUGUAGGGGUUAGUCCAACAAAAUAUCCAAUAUCUACUAUAGCAUACUAUCAGCUCAAAAAUCAACUUAGACACCAUAUCUAAUUUGAUUUAGGAGGGCAUUUUAACCUAAGCACCAUGCUUAAUUUAAAAUCCCUUGGAAGUAAGAUCAUCAUUCCUAAACUAAGCACCAUGCUUAUUUAAGAGAUAAAUGAAACUACUCCAAACCUAGACAUAUACUAAAGCAAAUAAAGGUAGCAUGAGAGCAUUUAUAGAGAUCUACUCAAGUGGAGAUGAAGUAGUGUGAUUAGUAUUUAACAAAUUGAGCAUGUCUCAAAGGUAGGGACAACCAACAUAGCGACAUGGCAAAGGAUGUUUUUAUGUAAAGUACUCCUCGAAGCUUGAAUUUUGCAAAAUUCAAGUUUGGAUGAAUUUAAUUCAAUGUUGUAUGAUGAUUGGUUGGACAUACAUUGUGCUUGUCAUUCAUCCAAUCUUCUUGCUCCAGUCCUAGAAAGGUUAGUGACAAGAAUACUCGAAGGAAUAUUUUUACAAUUAUCCUUAUAUGCUCAAUACACAAGGUAAUGUUGCAAAUAAUUAAAAGCUCAUGUUACGAUUUGAUCGGUGCUUAUUUUAGGACACUAAGCUUGUGCUUGGGAAACUAUCCAUUUAUGUUGGCGAAGUGGUUUCCCAUCCAAUGCUGACCUAUAUCAAGAUCAACUCAACGAGAUCUGCAAUAUUUUAUUAUAGAAUAUAGACAUAUGCAUUGACAACCGCCCUUUUAAAGUUUUUAUAAAUAGAAAGGAAGAGGGGGUUGGAGAUCUCAAAUGUGGUGAUGUUGGAGAGACCAAUAAAUUGGGAAGAUGUUGCAUAUGAGCAUGGAGUAAACGAAGUGGCUAUGAAAUAAAUUCCAUGCUCAUUAAUGUUAUCUUCGUCUCCAAACUGAAUGUUUGGAGUUUCUCCUGGAUUGGUCUCGCCUAUGUCCUCUUCUGUAGUUGGAUGAAUCUCAUCUUCAAAGGGAGUCAAGAACUCACCAUUUGAAAUUGAGCCAAAGUCAAAAUCCAUUAAGGCUUCUUCCUUGUCCAUCCAUUCUACACAUUCUAGCCAUUUAGAACUUGUGAUCAGGAUAGGGGAGGUGUUAGAAUUUUCUAUAUGGCUUAGCUCUCCUUCUAUGACAUUACUUGACAUGUCAUCCUCGUGGUCUUUAUGACUCCUAUGGUUUGAUCGUCUUGAUGGAUUGCUAGGAUCAUCAUGAGACUGAAAAGGAGAGGGAUAAGAGGGGUCUCUAUGGUCAAGGAUGGAUUUAGAAUUUGUGAACAUGGAAGGGGAGCAGAUAGAAUCAUCUAUAUGGUUUAGCUCUCCUUCAGUUGAUAUGUCAUCCUCGACUUCUUCAUAAUAGGAACCAGGACAUUCUCUAAGAGAACCAUUAUUGCAAAGAUUUGAAUUAUCCCUGCUUGAAGGUCUCUUAUGGAACUAGAAGUCUAAACCAUCAACAUCUGAAAGAUUUAAGGUCAGAAUUCCUUUCUCCCUUGGAGAAUUUUGGGGUAUUGAUGGUUUAGGAUCGAUAGCUAAAGUUUGGGAUUGAAGUGGUUGUAAUUUGACUAUCGAAACUUCCUCUUCUUGUCUAGGAACUGAUUCUUUCUCUUUCUCAGGGAUAUAGAUGCUAGGAGACUUUCCGCUCAUUAAAUCAAUCAAAUUCCAAGCUUCACUAGCGGACAGGUGGUGGAAGGAUCCUCCAGAGGCCGCAUUAAGGGUUUGCUUAUUUGCCCUACUAAGGCCCUUAAAAAAGUAAAUUAGAAGGACUUCUUCUGGAAUAGAAAGAUUUGGCCCAGUGAGAGUAAGGUCAAUAAAGCGGUCCCAUGAUUCGCCAAGAGAUUCUUCUUCUAGUUGUCUAAAAGAAAGAAUCUCGAUCUGAAGAUCCAUCACUUUGGAGAUUGGAAAAUAUUUUAGACAAAAAUUAUUGGAUAGCACCUUCCAAUCUCUGUGAGCACUUCCUAUGUUGAGUUUAUACCAAUGUCUAGCUUUUCCCGUUAAAGAGAACGGAAAGAGCUUCCAUUUAAGGGUCUCAUCGGACAUGCCUUCUAUGCGAAGGAGGUCAUAGAUUCGUCCAAACUCUUUGAGGUGUGUGUAUGGGUUUUCCUCACCUUUUUCUGAGAAAGGUUGUUUUUAAAGAAAUUCUAUGUAUUCCGGGCUUAUCUCAAAACUAGAUGUCAUGAUAGGCUUUGAAGAUUUUGGUGGUUCGAGAUGUGUGCCCGUAGGUCUAUGAAACUGAUAGAUAGACAUGUUUGCAUUCAUGAUAGACCAGUGAUCAAGGAUUAGAUAAGAAGAAAGAAUAGCAGAGAAUAUUUUCUUUUUUUUUUCUUUUAGAAAAAUGAUUAAGCUAGUUCGUAGUUAUAACACUCCAAAUUUUUGAAUUUCAAAUUUAGUUUAAAUUUGAUUUAAUUUUGGGCUUAGUUUGAAUUUUUGAGAAUUAUUAAAUAAUUUACAAAAAGAAAUAAAAAUUAAAUAUAAGGUAGAAAACAUGUUUGUGUGCAUUCAUGCUGCUGCACUUAUUUUUGUUUGAUUUGUUUGCUUGUGCUUGAAUUAUUUUUUGUUGGAAGAAAGAAAUAAAUAGGAGAAAUCUGUUAAAAAAAAAGAAAAAGAAAAGGGGCAAGCGCCCUGGACCGGCCUCCCCCUCUCCCCGCACGGCCCAGCAGCGGCUCAGCCGCAGAGCAGCUGCGCGCAGCCCACCCGCAGCGCCCCCUGCCCCUGCUCUCUCGCCCGCGCCAGCUGACCGGUGGGCCCCGCAGGUGGGACCCACCUGUCAUCCCCGAGCUCCGGCCGUUUCGGAAACGGCCGCGCCGCCACCCCGGCUUCUGAGCCGCACGCGCACCCCGAGGUUCACCCUAGCCUAUUUAAGGCAUCCCUCGGCCGCCCGCAACCCCCCUAGAACCCUAGCUUCGCUCCCGAGCCGCCGCGCGUUCGUUUCGCCGAAACCCGCGCCACCGCCGUCAACCUCGCCGCCGCCGCCGUCGCACUCCUCUCCGCGCUGCCGGUUUCGCGAAGGUGAGCCGCGCCCCGUCCUCGCCGCGUCGUGCCGACCCCGGUGGUGCCCUCGGCGUGCUCCGUCUCGCCCCGUAGGGCCAUGCCCGCAACCUCGCCGGCGGCGGCCAUGGCGCCGCCGUCCCUGCCCGCCGCGCCACCGCGGUCCUGCUCGCCUCGCCCCGCGCGCGGUCCGCCAUGGACCGCGGCUCGGCGCCCUCGGCCGGUCCACCAUGGACCCGGCCCCCGCCGCUCUCUGCCCUGGCCCCGGUCCACCACGGACCGGUGGACCCCCGCCGCGCCCCGGUCCACCGCCCGCGCCGUGGACCCGGCCACUCCCGCGCCGCCACGUGGCCAGGCUGGCCACGGCCCCCGCGUGUCCCUGCGCAUUUUGCAAAGAGGCCCUGCCUUUCUUUGAAAUCAACCCGCGCUCCAUUUAGUUAUGUUUUUGUUUAAAAUAUGCCCCUGGUUUUUGCAGAAAAGCCCUAUUAGCUGUUGGUUUUUAUAGAUUUAAUCCAAAAUGCUUUUUAAUUCAGUUUUAAUUAGUUUUAAUUACGAAAAAUAGUUCAGUUUAUCUACAGAAUUGCCAUCCAACUUGUUUUGGCCAUAACUUUUGCAUCGUAACUCCGAUUUAGGUGAUUCUGGUCGCUAUAGUUUCGUUUCGUCGAGUAGAAUACAAUAGUACAGUUGCUUUCUGUUUUCGCAUGCUUUGGUGUACUGUUUCUGAUUAAGCUUGUUUGCUUGCAUGUAUUGUUCCUAUGAUUGAUGAUUGUCACAUAUAGCCAACGAGACGUUCGUGAAGGAAGAGGUUCAGGAUCCCGCUGAGUUCGAGCAACCCGACAUCGAUCAAGGCAAGUGCAGACAUCGUUUGAUCAUUUUGAACCUACUCAUUAAUGUCAUUUACUUUACAUGCAUGUGUCCAAUGAAUGCAAACCCUAAGGACAUGACUAGCUUUACUUACUAUUCCUUGUUCACCUGGGGUUAUGUAUAUGGGUAGUCUAGCAUAUACUAGGUUUGCUUAGCUGCUCUACUCUCCUUAUUCACAUGCCUAAACAAGUAAUAAUCUCUACUCAACUUGAUGCUUAAAUUGUGCUGAACCUUUGGUCACUGCGGUGAUGGCGAUGAUGGAUGCUUACGAGCAUCAUGAUGAUGGUGGUGACUGGGGGAGCGGGUACCGUUGGUGGUCUGGUUUGCCGGGCGUACCCGUCUCUGCUCUCCGUAAGGACUUAGUCAGGGAGCGGCCCCCUGGGACUUACAGUGCAGCUCCAAGCUAUAUGGCUCUGGCUUGACUAAUUAGCAGGACCUCCACUAGUAGGGUGUUACUUUCCGGGUAGGCGUGAGGAAGUAACUUGGGUAAUGAAUAUUAAGUUGUCGGUUGAUCGGUACGCCAUGGCUAUGGGUAUCGACUGCCGAGUGCCCCGGCACAAACUUGCGAGUGGCAUCCUAUUAGUUGGACCCUGUGAAAGGUCUCGUAGUGAGACCCUGCCUGCUCACCUUGGAAGUGUUUUGGGGAGUCGCGACCCCGGGCAAAUGGGAAUCACGACUUGGAGUGAACGUGCACACCUCUGCAGAGUGUAAAACUGAUAUAUCAGCCGUGCUCACGGUCACGAGCGGCCAGACCCUCACUUGAUGAGCAAUUUGGAUUCACUGGAUACUUGGAGAUGGACCUUGGCGAGGUUGCUACCUCGUGUUUGGCGGAAUGGUUAUUCCGUGUUGGCAGGAUUGCUAUCCUGUGUUAAUAAUUGGGGUUAAUCCCUGGAUUACUGUAAUAGUUAGGAUAAUACUUUAAAAGAUGCUAAUUACUACUUACACUAAUUAAGGGUUGGGUUUAUGCUACUCAUGAUUAGUAAUAGGUUGUUCUUAUAAUAGUCAUAAUUAAAAGUGACCAACUAAAAUGCUACCACAGUCAAACCAAGUCAGCUUUACCUUGUUUUAAGCCUUGCAUGUCAUUACUUUCCGUCUGUUCUUGCUGAGUUCGACAUGAGCUCACCCUUGCUAUAAUCAUUAAAGGUUGCUCGGACGAUCAGGAGUACAAUUACAAUUUCCCUGAGGACUACCCUGAGUCUCCUGGCUGUUAGGCUCGUGUGGUUCUGCCGUCGACCUUCCUGUGGCAAGGUGGUCCUGCUACGUCGGCGUCUAGUUUCCCUUUUAUUUAUGGAACAGUUUAGCUUAUGUUUUCCCCUUCGCACUUUGAUAAACUUUUGGCUUGUAAUAAUGGUACAUUUACUCUCGUUUAUGUAAUUCGUUUGAACACUGUGUUUUGUACCAUUGAUGAUGUCGGUCCAUGUGUGUGAAUUUGAGAUCCUGGCGCACAUGUGAUUUGGCACCCGAAUGCUCUUUUACAUCCGGGUGUGACAGAAGUGGUACCAAAGCCGUGUUGACCGUAGGAUCACGCAGCCUAGUUAGAAACAGCCCUUUAGAUUGUCCCUUUUGGGUGGAAUAGACCAUUGGAUCUACUAACUACCUUACUAACCUGUCUCAUUAGACUUUACCUAUUAGCCUUAUCUACUUACUUUUACUAACAGUUCAGUUUAUUCACUUACUUCCUGCAUUUAUUACCUUGUUAUCAUUUAUUACUUCCUGCUUCUCAUAAUGCAAUUAUAUUCUUGUUUCAACUUUUACUACUCAUUAUUUGAACCUUUCUUUUAUAUCUUGUCCUUUACUAUCAUUCUACUCAUAUUACCCUCUUGUUCCUUGUUUUUCAUUUAUUACUUGAGUUAUGUUUUAUUUCUGCCUUGACAAUAAAUUUCAUUACCUUGUUUUUACCUUACACCUUCAUUACUUGCUUAUAUAUCUUACCAUAAAUACCACCAAAGUUCAUAUUGUCCAUCCACUGUAUAAUCUUGGUUCAUCUUCAUUACACAUACACUAUUACCUUCAUUUAUGUUAUUCAUUUAUCUAUCAUUGUCAUGAUCUAUUAACCGUUUCCUGCAUGUCUAUGAUUUAUGCAUAAGUAGAUGACUCGCCAUUUGACCUGCCGCAAGAGUGUCAUUCGUUUCCGCCCCGUUCAAGCUGUGGAGUUCUCGUUGACUGGUCGCGUGGAUAACAUCGUGUUCCAGCCUAACCAGCAUCUUGAUGAUGGUGCUAACCUCCAAGACGCUGAACCCUAUGAAGGACAACAACCACCUCAAGCUCUGGUGGUGCAUGGAAGGGCGCCUUGCUGGGCAGCUGGAGGAGAUGAUCCCUUCGGUGAUGAUGAUGACAUGGAUGAUGAUGAUGAGGAUGCACCUGGAGGACCUGGAGGACCUGGAGGACCCGGAGGACCUGGUGGACCUGGAGGACCUGGAGGUCAAGAUGGACUUUUUGCUGCGGAUGAUGGGUGGAUUGUGACAGUCUGCACAAGGGAUGGUGGAGAGUGUUUCUUCCACAGUGAGCUGAAGCGUCUCCUUGACCAGCAGCUGGGACAUGGCAUGUUCUCAGCGGAAUACCGCAGUGAGCACUGGAGUCACCCAGACUACCCGGCAUACUGGAAGGUCUGGGCACACGUCGGCAGGCCUAACCCGACGCUGAGGGCACUGAGGAUCAUGUCCAUACAUGAAGCUAUGGCAGAGAGGUCUACCCAGAUGGCGGGCAUUAAUGAUGCUGCUCGUUAGGCUUUCUACGCAUACCGUGAUCACUUCUUCGAGGAGAUCAGCCAGGAGGAACGUCGCUACUACCCUCGCCGUCGCCGUGGAGAGUUGGCGAUGACUAUUGCUUCCGCCACUGAUGAGUAGGACCCCCGCAUGCACAGGACUGUCAAGCUGGUGGCGGUCACUAACACCGAGCUCAACAGUUCACUAGUGGAGCUGAAGCAAGUCAGGAAGGAGCUGGAUGACGCUAGGAAGAGGAUAGCGCAGCUGGAAGCUCAGAUCACUGGAGUUCCACCGCCUUCACCUAAGUGGCCUGCUUUCGCUCCGUCUCGUGAAGAUCCAGCCUAUGGAGAUGCCAGCGCUCGUACUACUAUAGAAUAGGAGCUAUUCCCAGUUUAGUAAUAAAUAGUGCCACGCUUAGAACGUUAGCACGAUCUUAGUUAUGCGAGUCUAGUGUUUAGUGGUUUUGCUUAGUGUGCUUUGCUUGGUCUGUGUGAGAACUUGAUUUAUUAUUGUGUUAAUGGUGUGAUUUGGUUCUUUGUAAUGAGUGCGAUGAGUUGUGGGUUAUGUCCACAACGCAUCAAGAACAAGAUUAAGUAUUAAGUUUAUAUGAGAUAGUUAGUUUGGGUUAUCAUCGGUCUCCUUUAUUUGUGCUUUAUCAUAUUUCAUAUCGCUUUAUCUUAUCAGUCUUACUUUAUCAUGAUCAGUUCAUUAUCUAUAUAUUCCAUCUGUUAUGAGUACUGUGUUUAUCAACUGAAAAAGGGAAGUUACUACCAGCUGGUUCACACUUUGAAGAAAGAGUAUAACUUUGCAGUUUACAUUACAGCUCAGGUUUACACGUAUGAACUACAUCUGAUUUUAUUAUAUUAUUUCUAUACAUCAGAUGCCUGUCAACACCAGGAGCAACACCAAUGGAGGAAACAAUGGGCAGUCCAACAACAACAACAACAAGAACAAUGAUCACAGCGGGACUAAUGCCAACCCUCCUCCUCUAAAUCAACCCAUGACCAUAGAACAGUUGAUGACUAUGCAGACUCUACUGAUGCAAGGGAUGACCCAUAUUAUGAACCACAUGCAGCAGAACCAAAAUCAGAAUCAGAACCAACAUCAAGGAGGUAACAAUGCGUUUGCCCCACCUAGGGACAAGCGUGGAGAGUUCAUGAAGGGACGUCCACCGUUCUUCUCUCACUCAGGUGACCCUAUGCAAGCUGAGGAUUGGCUUAAAGCUGUGGAGAAGCAGCUGGUCAUUGCUCAGUGCAAUGACAGGGAAAAGGUUCUGUAUGGCUCUGGGCAGCUUCAGGGAGCCGCACAGGAUUGGUGGGAUUCGUACUGCUUUGCGCAUCAGGACCCAGAUACUAUCACUUGGGAUGAGUUCAAGGUCGCCUUCAAGACUCAUCAUGUGCCUGCUGGAUUGGUGAAGCUGAAGAAGAAGGAGUUUCUGUCUGUGAAGCAGGGCUCCAUGACAGUUUGUGAGUACCGUGACAAGUUCACUCAGUUGUCGCGGUAUUGCCCGAAUGAGGUGGAGAACGAUGAAGACAAGCAAGAUCACUUCCUGGAAGGUUUGAAUGAUGGUUUGUCCUACAUGAUGUCAAAUGUCAAGUAUGCCAGUUUCCAGGAGAUGGUGGACAGGGCAUUGGUGCUUGAGAGCAAGCGCCGCAAGAUGGAAGACAAGAAGAGGAAGUAUAACUCCUCUCAGCAGCAGGCUAGUGCCAGCCGUCCCCGCUACAACAAUCAGCAGGGCCCUCAGUCUCGCCCUGCAUAUCAGUCAGGCAACCAAGGACAGCAGCAGAAUGUCAGGUACAGCAAUUAGAGUCAGCAGACGAGCCAGCGCUACAAUCACAACCAAGUGCAGCGCCCCGCUAGUCAGGCGCCUCGUCAGAAUGCCCCAGCACCAUCAGGCUCUCGCCAAAACUCAAACACUGUCCCAGCAAAGCCCAAUGCCAACCCCACCCCCACUGGAAAUACCUGCUUCAAGUGUGGUCAGCUUGGACACUACGCGAAUGCUUGCCCCUAGAGGCAGAAGAACAACAAUGGAAGGGUGAAUCAUGUGAAGCUGGAAACUGCUGAGGAGGCUCCAGAUGUGGUAGUUGGUACGUUCCUUGUCAACUCUUGCCCAGCUACUGUUUUGUUUGAUACUGGAGCAUCACAUACUUUUAUAAGUGCACAGUUUGUUGAGAAACAUAGUAUAGCCACCUGUACCAUGCAAAACACCAUGAUAGUUAAAUCACCUGGGGGAAAGAUGCAUACUAAUACUUUGUGUCCGGGAAUGAGCAUUAAAAUAAGGGGGGUAGAUUUUCCUGUCAAUCCUAUUGUGUUGGGUUCAGAAGGUCUAGAUAUGAUAUUGGGAAUGAGAUGGUUGUCCAAGUUUAAGGGUACUAUUCAGUGUGCUGAGAAGUCAGUUGCUCUAACAGCACCUAGUGGGAACAGAAUUGAGGUCAGAGUUUCUAUGUCGCCUAGCAGUGAAGGAACAGUUUACCAUGUGAGCAGUGGGUCAGUAGAGGAUAUUCGAGUUGUGAAAGAAUUCCCUGAUGUGUUCCUAGAGGAUUUGCCAGGUAUGCCACCUGAACGUGAGAUUGAAUUUGUUAUUGAUUUAUUACCUGGUACUGCACCCAUAUCUAAGAGACCUUAUAGAAUGGCUGUUAAUGAGUUAGAAGAACUUAAGAAACAACUAAGGGAGUUACAGUCUAAGGGGUAUAUCCGUCCUAGUUCCUCACCUUGGGGAGCUCCAGUUAUCUUUGUAGAGAAGAAGGAUGGGACACAGAGGAUGUGUGUAGACUAUAGAUCUUUGAAUGAGGUCACAAUUAAGAAUAAAUACCCUUUGCCUAGAAUAGAGGACUUGUUUGACCAGUUGAAGGGAGCUUGUGUGUUUUCCAAGAUAGAUCUGAGGUCAGGUUAUCACUAGUUGAGGAUUAAACCUAGUGAUAUUCCAAAGACUGCUUUCACCACCAGAUAUGGACUUUAUGAGUAUAUAGUUAUGUCUUUUGGGUUAACUAAUGCUCCAGCUUACUUUAUGUAUCUGAUGAAUAAAGUUUUUAUGGAGUAUUUGGAUAAGUUUAUGGUAGUCUUUAUUGAUGAUAUCUUGAUCUACUCCAAGACUGAGGAAGAACAUGAGGAACACCUGAGACUUGUGUUGCAGAAAUUGAGGGAACAUCAGCUCUAUGCCAAGUUGAGUAAGUGUGACUUCUGGUUGAAGGAAGUGUCUUUUCUUGGUCAUGUCAUUUCAAAUGGUGGAGUUGCUGUCAGUCCGAAGAAUGUGGCAGAUGUUCUUAAGUGGAGUCCACCUCAGACUGUUGGAGAAAUCAGAAGUUUUCUUGGAAUGGCUGGUUACUAUCGGAGAUUCAUUGAAGGGUUUUCCAGUAUUGCCAAGCCCAUGACUGCUUUGUUAGAGAAGGGUAAGCCAUUCAAGUGGAAUGAACAGUGUCAGGCUAGCUUUGAGGAGUUGAAGAAGAGGUUGACUACUGCACCAAUUCUGACUUUGCCUGAUGUGACUAAGAGUUUUUCUAUCUAUUGUGAUGCUUCCAAGCAAGUUUUGGGAUGUGUGCUGAUGCAAGAGGGAAAGGUGAUUGCCUAUGCAUCCAGACAGUUGAAGAAACAUGAGGUGAACUAUCCAACUCAUGAUCUUGAGUUAGCAGCAGUGGUCCAUUCACUGAAGAUCUGGAGACAUUAUAUUCUGGGUCAUAAGUGUGAUAUCUACACGGAUCACAAGAGUCUGAAAUACAUCUUCACUCAGAAUGACUUGAACCUGAGACAGAGAAGAUGGUUAGAAUUGAUCAAGGAUUAUGAACUGGACAUUCAUUACCACCCUGGCAAGGCUAAUGUAGUUGCUGAUGCUCUAAGUAGAAAGAGUCAAGUGAAUAUGUUGGAAGCCACGGAGCUACCGAUGGAACUACUGGCAGAAUUUGAGUAUCUCAAUCUGGGGUUUGUUGCUAACACCCAAGGUACUUCCAUGGACAUAGAACCAACUCUUGAGCAAGAGAUCAGAAAAGGUCAGAAAGAGGAUGAAGAGAUCAAAAAGAUACUUAAGCUACUAGAGGAAGGUAGAGCACCUGGAUUCAAAGUUGAUCAAGAAGGGAUUUUUUGGCACAAGGACCGAUUGUGUGUGCCUGAUAUUCAGAGAAUCAAGGAUGUGAUACUGAAGGAGUGCCAUGAAUCUACUUACUCUAUUCAUCCAGGAGGUACUAAGAUGUACCAAGACUUGAAACAAAACUUUUGGUGGCCUGGUAUGAAGAAAGAUAUUGGUGAAUAUGUGGCAUUGUGUGACACCUGUCAGAGAGUGAAAGCGGAACAUCAGAGGCCAGCAGGGUUGUUGCAACCGUUGAAGAUACCUGAGUGGAAGUGGGAUGAGAUCAGCAUGGACUUCAUAGUGGGAUUGCCGAAGUCUCGACGAGGUUAUGACUCAAUAUGGGUUGUAGUAGAUCGAUUGACCAAGGUAGCUCAUUUCAUACUAGUCAAGACUACCUACCGUGGGGAUCAGUUAGCAGAGAAGUAUAUGGAACGGAUUGUGUGUCUGCAUGGGGUCCCUAAGAGGAUAGUGUCUGAUAGAGGUACACAGUUUACAUCAAAAUUUUGGGAGAAGUUACAUGAUGCUUUGGGAACCGAGCUCAGAUUCAGUACUGCUUAUCACCCUCAGUCCGAUGGUCAGACAGAGAGAGUCAACCAAAUAGUGGAGGAUAUGCUCAGGUCUUGUGCUUUACAGUAUGGAGAUAGUUGGGAUACUAGUUUGCCCUACGCCGAGUUCUCCUAUAACAAUAGCUAUCAGACUAGUCUUAAGAUGACUCCUUUUGAAGCCUUGUAUGGAAGGAAGUGUAGGACUCCAUUGUUCUGGAACCAGACUGGUGAAAGGCAAGUGUUCGGCCCUGAUUCAUUGAGAAUAGCCGAAGAAAGAGUUCAGUUCAUCCGACAGACUCUGAAAGCAGCUCAGUCUAGACAGAAGAGUUAUGCAGAUGUGAGACGAAGGGAACUUGUGUUUCAGGCAGGUGAUUAUGUAUACCUAAAAGUGUCUCUGAUGAGAGGUCUAAAGAGGUUCAAUGUCAAGGGAAAGCUAGCUCCAAGGUAUGUUGGUCCUUUCAAGAUUUUGGAGAGGAAAGGAGAAGUGGCUUAUCAGCUUGAGUUGCCUGCUAGUUUAUCCAAUGUGCACAAUGUUUUCCAUGUCUCCCAAUUCAAGAAAUGCUUGAGAGUGCCUGAGGAACAGUUGCCACUAGAGGAACUGGAUUUACAGCAAUGAUCUGGACACAGCAGAGAGAAUUACGAGAAGUAAAACUAUCAGGAUGUGUAAAGUACAAUGGAAACAUCACUGUGAGGAGGAAGCAACCUGGGAAAGAGAGGAUGAUCUGAUAUCCAAAUAUCCUCAGUUAUUCUCUAGUUCAUCCUAAUCUCGAGGACAAGAUUCUUUUAAGGGGGAUAGGUUUAUAAUACUCCAAAUUUUUGAAUUUCAAAUUUAGUUUAAAUUUGAUUUAAUUUUGGGCUUAGUUUGAAUUUUUGAGAAUUAUUAAAUAAUUUACAAAAAGAAAUAAAAAUUAAAUAUAAGGUAGAAAACAUGUUUGUGUGCAUUCAUGCUGCUGCACUUAUUUUUGUUUGAUUUGUUUGCUUGUGCUUGAAUUAUUUUUUGUUGGAAGAAAGAAAUAAAUAGGAGAAAUCUGUUAAAAAAAAGAAAAAGAAAAGGGGCAAGCGCCCUGGGCCGGCCUCCCCCUCUCCCCGCACGGCCCAGCAGCGGCCCAGCCGCAGAGCAGCAGCGCGUAGCCCACCUGCAGCGCCCCCUGCCCCUGCUCUCUCGCCCGCGCCAGCUGACCGGUGGGCCCCGCAGGUGGGACCCACCUGUCAUCCCCGAGCUCCGACCGUUUCGGAAACGGCCGCGCCGCCACCUCGGCUUCCGAGCUGCACGCGCACCCCGAGGUUCACCCUAGCCUAUUUAAGGCAUCCCUCGGCCGCCCGCAACCCCCCUAGAACCCUAGCUUCGCUCCUGAGCCGCCGCGUGUUCGUUUCACCGAAACCCGCGCCGACGCCGUCAACCUCGCCGCCGCCGCCGUCGCACUCCUCUCCGCGCUGCCGGUUUCGCGAAGGUGAGCCGCGCCCCGUCCUCGCUGCGUCGUGCCGACCCCGGUGGUGCCCUCGGCGUGCUCCGUCUCGCCCCGUAGGGCCGUGCCCGCAACCUCACCGGCGGCGGCCAUGGCGCCGCCGUCCCUGCCCGCCGCGCCGCCGUGGUCCUGCUCGCCUCGCCCCGCGCGCGGUCCACCAUGGACCGCGGCUCGGCGCCCUCGGCCGGUCCACCAUGGACCCGGCCCCCGUCGCUCUCUGCCCUGGCCCCGGUCCACCAUGGACCGGUGGACCACCGCCGCGCCCCGGUCCACCGCCCGCGCCGUGGACCCGGCCACUCCCGCGCCGCCACGUGGCCAGGCUGGCCACGGCCCCCGCGCGUCCCUGCGCAUUUUGCAAAGAGGCCCCUGCCUUUCUUUGAAAUCAACCCGCACUCCAUUUAGUUAUGUUUUUGUUUAAAAUAUGCCCCUGGUUUUUGCAGAAAAGCCCUAUUAGCUGUUGGUUUUUAUAGAUUUAAUCCAAAAUGCUUUUUAAUUCAGUUUUAAUUAGUUUUAAUUACGAAAAAUAGUUCAGUUUAUCUACAGAAUUGCCAUCCAACUUGUUUUGGCCAUAACUUUUGCAUCGUAACUCCGAUUUAGGUGAUUCUGGUCGCUAUAGUUUCGUUUCGUCGAGUAGAAUACAGUAGUACAAUUGCUUUCUAUUUUUGCAUGCUUUGGUGUACUGUUUCUGAUUAAGCUUGUUUGCUUGCAUGUAUUGUUCCUAUGAUUGAUGAUUGUCGCGUAUAGCCAACGAGACGUUCGUGAAGGAAGAGGUUCAGGAUCCCGCUGAGUUCGAGCAACCCGACAUCGAUCAAGGCAAGUGCAGACAUCGUUUGAUCAUUUUGAACCUACUCAUUAAUGUCAUUUACUUUACAUGCAUGUGUCCAAUGAAUGCAAACCCUAAGGACAUGACUAGCUUUACUUACUAUUCCUUGUUCACCUGGGGUUAUGUAUAUGGGUAGUCUAGGCUAUACUAGGUUUGCUUAGCUGCUCUACUCUCCUUAUUCACAUGCCUAAACAAGUAAUAAUCUCUACUCAACUUGAUGCUUAAAUUGUGCUGAACCUUUGGUCACUGCGGUGAUGGCGAUGAUGGAUGCUUACGAGCAUCGUGAUGAUGGUGGUGACAGGGGGAGCGGGUACCGUUGGUGGUCCGGUUUGCCGGGCGUACCCGUCUCUGCUCUCCGUAAGGACUUAGUCAGGGAGCGGCCCCCUGGGACUUACAGUGCAGCUCCAAGCUAUAUGGCUCUGGCUUGACUAAUUAGCAGGACCUCCACUAGUAGGGUGUUACUUUCCGGGUAGGCGUGAGGAAGUAACUUGGGUAAUGAAUAUUAAGUUGUCGGUUGAUCGGUACGCCAUGGCUAUGGGUAUCGACUGCCGAGCGUCCCGGCAAAAACUUGCGAGUGGCAUCCUAUUAGUUGGACCCUGUGAAAGGUCUCGUAGUGAGACCCUGCCUGCUCACCUUGAAAGUGUUUUGGGGAGUCGCGACCCCGGGCAAAUGGGAAUCACGACUUGGAGUGAACGUGCACACCUCUGCAGAGUGUAAAACUGAUAUAUCAGCCGUGCUCACGGUCACGAGCGGCCCAGACCCUCACUUGAUGAGCAAUUUGGAUUCACUGGAUACUUGGAGAUGGACCUUGGCGAGGUUGCUACCUCGUGUUUGGCGGAAUGGCUAUUCCGUGUUGGCAGGAUUGCUAUCCUGUGUUAAUAAUUGGGGUUAAUCCCUGGAUUACUGUAAUAGUUAGGAUAGUACUUUAAAAGAUGCUAAUUACUACUUACACUAAUUAAGGGUUGGGUUUAUGCUACUCAUGAUUAGUAAUAGGUUGUUCUUAUAAUAGUCAUAAUUAAAAGUGACCAACUAAAAUGCUACCGCAGUCAAACCAAGUCAGCUUUACCUUGUUUUAAGCCUUGCAUGUCAUUACUUUCCGUCUGUGCUUGCUGAGUUCGACAUGAGCUCACCCUUGCUAUAAUCAUUAAAGGUUGCUCGGACGAUCAGGAGUACAAUUGCGAUUUCCCUGAGGACUACCCUGAGUCUCCUGGCUGUUAGGCUCGUGUGGUUCUGCCGUCGACCUUCCUGUGGCAAGGUGGUCCUGCUACGUCGGCGUCUAGUUUCCCUUUUAUUUAUGGAACAGUUUAGCUUAUGUUUUCCCCUUCGCACUUUGAUAAACUUUUGGCUUGUAAUAAUGGUACAUUUACUCUCAUUUAUGUAAUUCGUUUGAACAUUGUGUUUUGUACCAUUGAUGAUGUCGGUCCAUGUGUGUGAAUUUGAGAUCCUGGCGCACAUGUGAUUUGGCACCCGAAUGCUCUUUUACAUCCGGGUGUGACAGUAGUCAACUCAUCAACCGUCUCCCUGGUAACGGCGCCAAAAAGCUUGUUGACACUUGCUAACACCACUUGAAUACUAGCUUGUCAUCCCCAGCAUGGCACUAGAGUGUACUAUGGUAUUUAUGCGCACACAGAUAAAUCCGCAAGUGCACGGAUACCGUUGUAGCUUUUACCCGGUUAAAGGUUUUAUCGUAUCCAUAGGGAAACGGGAGAACCAACUACGCUCUAACUUAACCAAGAUAGAUAGAUAGGUAUAAAUAGGAAAUGUGAUAUAAUUGAAUUAGAACAAUAUUAAAGGUAAAAUGAUAAUGGGGUAAUAUAGAGUAGAGCAAUCUAAUAUAUGGACAAUAAUAGGAGAAUAGAGAGGAUAAUUGGGGUUUCUCUACUUCAAAGGGGUAUGUUUGUAUGUGGUGUACCAUAAGUAUAAAACAACACAGAGGAUGCUUAUACCUAAUAAGGUCGAGGACUCCUACCAGUCCUGCUAAUGGGAGGUGGACUACAGAGGACCACGUAGCUGUCACCUACGCGGCCAACCACACGAUCCGGCUAACAUGGGAUAUCCACAAGUAAUCUAGGCCUAAGCACCAUGCUUACACCUAUACUGCAACUCUCACCUAUAGCGUCCUAUAGAUUAAAGUACUCAAAAGAGUUAUGAACCAGAACAUACAUGGAUAGCAAUUGCAUAAUGAAACAGAAGUAGAUUACCAGAGUCAUCCCAUGAGCAAGCUUGAUUAGAGCUUGAUCAUGGAGAAGUACAACCGGAGAAAGAACCGACAGACCGGCCUCUCCUCUAAUCCUCCCUCGCUCUCCAUCUCGCUACUAUCUAGAUCUACUCUAGUUUAAUGAAGAGAUGAGAGCUCUCAUCUCCAAACCCUAGCUUUUGCUCUGUCUAUGAAUAAUAAAUAGGGGAUGCAGAGGUGUCUCCUCUAGGGGCCAGGGGGCCUGCUUAUAUAGCCCUUCCAAAUGAACGUGGGCCGUCGGAUCAAACUAAUCUUAAUCGCACGGUUUUCCUUAAUCAUUUAGGUCGGUGGAGCAUAAUCCGCGAGGCGGAGCCUGAUUGGCUGCCAGAGCAGGGCGAGCGCCCUAGGGGGGAGGGCGGGCACCCUGUCCCUGGGCCCGCUCGGCCUCCCGUUCGUUCCUGUGGCUUCUGGACUCUUCUAGAUGAUAGAAAAUUGGCGCACACCUUAAUAUCUCUAUGUAAACCCGACGUGUGGGCCUUUCCUCCAUAUUUCCUGAUAACCCCCUGCAGAAAUAGACAAACACCAAAACUCAUAGAAUUUUGUCAGAUAAAACCCUAAGUCUGGGUGUUGGUUGCAUUUGGAUCCUUUUCUUUAUUUAUUUGAUGAAUAAAUUUGAUACUUAAGUACCGUCAACAAUCAGCUUCUUUGCAUAGUACGUAUUAGCAGGCACUUUGUUCUCCUUUGAAAGCAUAUAGUCGAUAAUACUUAAGAACACAUCGAAUCCAGCAUCAAGACCAACCAUACCUGGCUUUUGCAGCCAUAUCAUUUGGUAAGACAUGAGUUCUUGCACCAUCAUUUCCCCAGCAAAUCCACCAGUAGUAACAUUUGGCAUAACAUGUUCACUCUGGGGUGUGUCGUGGAAAAACUGAUCAGCAGGCAUGCCUGGACCAUCGGUGUCAAUGUUUGCUAGGUCCCCAAGUGUAUAAGGCGCUGAGCUACCCUUUCCAUGCUUUGUCCAAAUCAAGUAAUCCUUCAUAAAUCCUCGGCAGACUAGAUGAGAAAUGAUUACUUAAGUAUCUUCAAAUAGAAGAAUAUUUCUGCAGUCAUAGCAUGGACAAUAUAUGUGCUUCGUCUUUGUUCUCAAAGCAUGGUUCUUAGCGGCAUCAACAAACCUAUGCACCUCGGGUAUAUAUGAUAGAUCUAGUCUUGAUAAGUUAUACAUCCAUAAGGACCUCUCCAUCAUGACAUGUUGAAAAAUUAGUAAAUUAAUUGAAAUAUUGUCUAGGAAUAUUUGUUAUAAAAAAUAAAGAACACCUAACAAUGAAAUCAAAUAGAAAAAGUAAAACAAGUAUCAAAAAUAAAGACAAAACCCUAAGUAAUAAUUCAAAAAAGUACACCUAACAACUAAAUCAAAUUGACAAGGUACAAAAACACUGUUGAUGGAAACUAAAUAUAUAUCUUUAUAUCACUAAAAUAAAUUUGAGAAGGAAACAUGGAAAUGGUGAGAGGAGAGGCAACAUCUUAAGCAACCUCAUACAUGAAAAAUGCUUAUUGCAUAAUUAAAUCAAAUUUACAUAAAAAAUAACAUCCUAAACAAUAUAAUUUAAAAAACUAAAAAGAAAACUUAUCUUUCUCUCUCUUUUCAAGCAUGGAAACACCAUUCAUGGAAACUACUAUAUAUAUAUUUCUUGGAUUCACUAAUUAGAGAAGGAAACAUAAAAAAGAAGAGAGGAGAGACAUCAUCUAACCAUCUUAAUCAACCUCAUUUGAGCAAAUAUAGACCAUACCAAGCUAUUCUACUCUCUCCCUCUCAUGGUGAAACCCUAGAUCCAAAAAGUAGCUCAAAUUGAGCAAGAGGGCACAAAAAGAGGCAUUAUAGGCAUCAACUAACCUUUCUUUCCAAGAAAUGAAGAUCAAAACCUCCCCCUUAUAUUUUGGAAAAUCUGGACCUCCAAGAUGGGCUGCAAUGGAAGGUGGCUGUGAGCUACAGUUCUGUCCGAGGAGGAAGAAGGGGGCUGGGGGUAUUUUAUUUACACAGGCGGUUCAGUUAUGUGAACCGCCUGUGUUAAUAGAUUUACACAGGCGGUUCACAUAACUGAACCGCUUGUGUAAAUGAACCAUUUAUACAGGCGGUUUUCUUACGAUAACCGCCUGUACUGAGCCUUUUAAACAGGUGGUUUUCAAUUCUGGCCGUACAAAUUUACAACAUAGACGCAUUAUAAUUAAAACCGCCUGUGCAAAUUUUUUACCCCCGCCUGUGUAAAUUUUUUACCCCCGCCUAUGGCGGUUUCCUUAUGUGGUCGAGGCAGUUUUAUGAACCGCCUUGGUUAAGCUAUAACUUAUGAUGAAGUGAAACUAGUUUGACAUGUACACUACUCAUAGUUGCAUUGUUUUGUGGAUGGAGGGAGUACUCCUAUUACCCUACGUACUCACUAGUAUACUGUCAGUGCUAAUACUACGAUGAUGUUUAGAAAAAAAUCAUAAAACCAAAAAAAAAUCAUAAAACUAAAAAAUAACCAAACCUUCCCCACUAACAAAAAAAAAGUUUCUUUUGAAAAGGAGAAAGAACCAACAACUCUCAGAUGGCCUUUGCCAAUACCAAUACAACUUCUUUUGCUAAUACAAAAUAUCACACUCAAAAAUUGAGGAACAAAUGCUAUGACCGUGCUAACACUAUGCAACAUUCGGGUAUAUGCAAAUUAGAUUGAAAUAUCAUUAUAAAAAAAUCUUGGAAAUAUUACAAAAUAUCAUUGUUGGCUUAGAGACCAACAAAUCAAAUGUACUAACAGAUUGGGUUGAAUGAACUCUAUUCUUUUCACCUGUUGAUGAUACAAUUCCUCUUUUCACACAAGCAAUAUUGAUGGUAGACACGCAGUUGAAGAGACACUCUAAAUAAUUUAACAAUAAACUCAGUAAAUGAAAACAGUGCAGUUCAUGAGGAGCAUGCCUAUGGCUUUCAUGUUUUCUGUCCGGUCCAUGUUUUCUAUCCUGGUUCUGGCCCCUUGCUAGGCUCCUCCCAUGAUUAUUAUCCUGAAAAGAUGAUAAAAGGGAAUUUAGCUUGGUAGAUUCACUUCAAAAGUGCUCACAGACAGGUGAUCUAGAAGCAGAUUCCUACAAUGAGGAAAGCGUGAAGGGCACAGGCAAUGGCUAUAGUAGCUAUAUAUAGUAGCUGGUAGAGAAUUGAGGAUGACACAAACCUUUCAGUUAUAAUGCAAUAGGCCAGUCUACUGCACGGAGGCUUAUAUCUUAUGAAAAUUCAUUAUUAACACGAAGGUAUAAAACAAGCACGCAACAAGAAAAGAAGUGCACACACCUGAAUCAUUGCUGCAUACAUGUCGACAUAUGCAACAACGAAUGUUAGUCUCUAUUUCAUGCUCGUGCCUACAGAAUUAGAGAUAUCAUGAGGAAAAAAAAUCCAAAGCUCAAGAAGUUUAUAUAAAACAGUUGUUAAAAAUGCAUACAAUUGUUAAAAAUGCAUUGGAAUUAAUUCUGAGCAUUACUUAUAAUCUAUUGGGGUGUUGUCUCAUGGCAUCCAUAUAAGAGUCAGAAAUAAACAUAAACAAAUUCCAAAUAUAUUACAGAGUUCGUACCAUGCAGACUUACAUUUAAAGCAUGCAGAUGCUUUGGAACCGCGUAUAUGCAAACUCUGUAAUAGACAACGCUGAGGAUUUAACACCAUGGCUAUUCCUUGGCAUGCUAUUCUGAAUGAAAUGCAGCAAAUUUGGUUCAUUAUAUUGUGAUAAGGAGUUAAUGAAUCCAAUUACUGGGGAACAAUUAGAAGUAUCUACACAGAACGACCAAGCACAUUGCAGUUAUUAAGUAGGAUCUGAGGUUCUCACUUGUCAAGCAUGAUCAACAUGGUGUUCUCCGGUACCUUGAACCUUAUUUAGUGUCAGCUUCUUGAAGAAUUUGUUCUUGUCCUCCCCAUAUUCCUUUUUUAAGUAAUGUUUGAAAAAAAAGGAGUAGUAUUUAAAUAUUUGUUAGUGAGGGUUGAACUAUAACAGGUAGUAAAUUAAAUACUUGAUACACACAACUGUUAAAAUUAAAUUAUAUAUUUGUUUAUAGAACUUGAAUACUCCCUCCAAAUUCGUUUGCUCAUCGAUCUUGGUGAGUCAAGAGGAACCAUCUGAUCGUGCGCUGCUAUUGUAGUGUACCAUCCCUUCCUUCUCCUCUAGCACCUCGCAGGAGGCUAAAGGGAGUGGAGAUCCAUUGAUUUUAACAAGUUUUUCUAGUGGAUCGAGUCCUUAGGGUUAGGGUCUUCGCAUGCCAAGUUUCUUGGCAUUAGGGAUUUAUCUCCUCCUCUUCUCUAGUGACAGCGAGUGGUAGGAUAAAAUUAUUUUCUCCAUGGCGACUUUGUUGAAGAUAAGGACGACAACUACGGCGUUAGCAACUUCAUCGACAUUGGCGAUAUAGAAACUUUUCUUUCAAGACAGUGACAUCAAGGCGGAGAUGAUGUCGCCGCCCAUGGCAUAAUUUUCUUCAGUCUCUUCUCUAUUUUGUUGUAGUUAUAUUUGACUAUGAUGAAGGACUAGAGAAUAAAUUUUAGAUCAGUCUUUCUCAUCUUCGAUGACCAAAAGAAGAAGAAAGACAUAAGAAAGAAGAAAUUUGUCAACUCCGGUUGCAGGAAUAUUGACCAUCUUUGUUGGGCCUCUAUUCUCAGCCUUUUUUUUUUGCCUAGUUGUUUUUGGCUGAGCAGUAAUCCAUACUAAGCAUCAUAUAUUUUUGCCGGCCUGCCGUAGUUUGCAGGUCCAAAUAAACGGCUGUUAAUCAUUAUAUAUAACUUGAUUUACACACAGUUGGGCGCUGUUGAUGCUGCUGUCCAGGUGCAGGCCGGAUAUAUCGUUCCAUUGAAGAAACCAACGACAAUUGUACCCACGGUGAACAUGGAAGCAAGUUUCACCUUCAAAGAAAGUGAAUCUCAAGCAACGAUCCUCUGAAGUCUGAACUUGAAGAAGAGAAACGGCGAUCAUUUUUUUUAAAAAAAAAAACCAGCGAAAAUGUGUCCGUCUGCGUGUGCGCGUACAUUUAUCUCUCCGGAUUAAUUGAACCGUAAGUAAUGCAUCGCCAUGUGCAGGCUGUUGUUACUUGUUAGCUAUUUCCUGGUCCGGCUUGCUUCAUUCGAUCAUCGAUGCGCUUGUCAAUCAAUUUUUUUAAUAAUUAAUCAAAUCACCAGCUAGGGUAAGGCCGUGUGUAUAUAUAUACUAAUAUACCCACCAGACCGUUGCACAAAUCAAAUCAUCACAACACAAACAAUCUCUAGCUAGACACUAGCAGAACAAAUAAACCAGUCCGUGCACUCAGCAUCCCAGCUCCACGUUCUGUGCAGUUUCAAGGCCGGCAUACAAACCCCCGAGCAGUAUGGGUAUGGCUCCAGCUCGAGUUCUUGGAUUCGUGUCGCUCGCAGUCGCCUGCAUGCUGGCCAUCAUGGCCGCCGCUGGUGACGCCGCCACCAGCACUCCGUCGUCUCCGACGCCGACCACCGGAUGGCUGAAGGCGCAUGCCACGUUCUACGGCGGCGCCGAUGCCUCUGACACCAUGGGUAAGCAGCAAGCUAAGUCGCUCUCUCUAUGUUUUGCCAUGCAUGGUUUAUUACCUAAAGCUAGCACAGGCAGAGCUAAUAACUGUAUCAAAUUGUAUUUAUUCGCACGAGGGGCGUGCGGGUACGGGAACCUCUACUCCCAGGGCUACGGCACGCGGACGGCGGCGCUGAGCACGGUGCUCUUUUAGGAUGGGGCCUCAUGCGGCCAGUGCUACAAGAUCGCGUGCGACCGCCAGUGUCGGUCCUAUAAUUUUGGGCCCUCUGGCGAAUUUAUCGUGACGACCUCUCUAUAAACUAUAAAAAUCUUAUAAUAAUAUAAGUUAAUUUUAUUCAUAAGAAGAAAGUAAAUUGAAUCAUAUAUAGAUAAACUGCACUUCUUGUCUUUUCAUUUUUUCAAAGCCCCUGACAAAUGUUUCUUAGGUAACACUCUAAAAUUCUAACAUAUGACUUUAUGAGUACAAAGUACUAGAGAAAAAUUAGAUAAGAAAAAAAACCUAGUUCCUAAACAUUUGGGACAUGAACUAAUUCAGAAUCAGAAUCAUGAUUCACAAAUCACAAAAAAUAAAAGGGUAGAAGGAAAGAACCAGAUCACAUGUCAUAGCCCUCGUCGAGCCUUGCCAGCUGGUCAUCACCGUUGUCAUUUGGAUUUUGGAAUAGCCCUCGUCGAGCCCUGCCAGCUGGUCAUCGCCGUUGUCGUUUGGAUUUUGGAAGACUAGAACUCAAACGCAAAGGUUUCAGUAUUAUCCACUGCAGCUGGUGAUCACGUUGUGAACUAGUGAUCGUGUUGCUGAUGUCGUUGUGUCUCUCCUCGCGGUCUCGCCGUCUCACGAGAAGUCUAAAAGUCGUGACUCGUGAUGGCUAUGUGUGGUAGCAUGUGUACGGGCAUUGGCGGCUUAGCUCCUUGGCUCACGACUUUUUUUUAGUGAUAGACCUGCUGCAUCGUAUAUAUGUAUGUACUAAUAAAUAAGGACUAUAGUUAAAAAAUAUGUGGUAUUAUAUAUUUAGGAUUGGGCCCCUAUUCCGCGAGGGCCCUCGGCCGUCGCACCUCCUGCCCUUCCCUUAGGGCCGGCACUGGCGACCGCAAAAGAGCCAACCCCAGGUUCUGCAAGCCUGGCGUCACAGUCACCAUCACGGCCACCAACUUCUGCCCGCCCAACUCGGCGCUGCCCGACGGCGGCUGGUGCAAUCAGCAGCGCCCGCACUUCGACAUGGCGCAGCCGGCGUUCGAGAAGAUCGGCGUCUACACCGGCGGCAUCAUCCCCGUCAUGUACAAGAGGUACAUUUUAUGAGUUUAAUUGCCGAUUAAGUGUGUAGUCUCUACUGAUAACAAAUUUAUGCAUGAUGGAUGCAAUAUCCUGUCUUGAGUAAAGUAAAAAUGCAUGCUUUAAUUUGCAGGGUUCCUUGUGUGAAGCGAGGUGGGGUGCGGUUCACAAUCAAUGGUCACGACUACUUCAAUCUCGUACUCGUGACCAAUGUUGCAGGAGCUGGCUCCAUCAAGUCAAUGGACGUCAAGACCUCCAACUCCAAUAGUUGGAUACCAAUGGCACGCAACUGGGGUGCGAAUUGGCACUCUCUUACGCACCUUACUGGACAGAUGCUCUCAUUUAGAGUAACGGACACGGAUGGACAAACUAUUGAAUUCACAAACGUUGUGCCACAAGGAUGGAAGUUUGGCCAAACGUUUGCAUCCAAGUUACAAUUCAAGUGAGCUCCGUACGUGCAGGAUUUCGAGUGACCCAAAUAGUUGCGCACUUGUGGGAGUAUAUAUGAUUCGAAGACGCUCAAAAUGUAUGCAUGCAUGUA
rnacentral:lncRNA from 1 species